rnacentral:lncRNA from 10 species
GUAUCCCCAUCAUUAUGCAACGCAUACUGUAGUUGGGAAAACUGCCUUUCACAAGCCAUAUCACUUGGCUCAAACAGGUCUGCAGUAGGUAAUAUAACGACUAGUCAUUCCACCUGGCAAGUUGUGCUGCUAUUGCAUGACAUUGACCUGAUUGAGGGCACAUGUGAUCAGCUGUCUCCUGUCAUACCAGGCUAUCAUACCUCUCUAAGGCUGGAAGUAGAGAAAAGGCAUUGAAAUGGUUUCAUAUCUUUGUGAAUUUAAUCCUGUCAUUUCUAUUGAUCACUUUGGCCGUGGAGACUAAGAGGGAGAAAAGUACAGGUUGCAUUGUGCAGCCCCUUGGUGGCAACUCAUGAAACCAGAUACACCAGGGUGACUUUUCAACCAAGAUUAGAAGUAAAGGAACAAGUCAGCAUGGAUUGGGGGCGCUGACCAAGAAAGACAAAGAUAGAGGGGGCAGACCAGGACCAGUGGUUCAAAGUUACAUAAGAAGCCAGUAUCUCCUUAUGAUGGGAACAGGAGGCAGAGAAAUUCUAGGCAGAAAAGGAAGGGGUCCCUGGUGAAGCCCCACCCUCAAGCCUAGAACCGUGGCCCAAAGUGAGAACAUCCCCAUUUUCCCACUCAAAUGUUGCCUUUUCCAAAACCACCCUGGCCCACCCCGUCCCCCAUCCCAUACCCAUAAAAACCCCAGGCUCCACUGGCAGAGGAGCAGCAGAGAAGGAGAGAAGAGAAGCAGCCAGACGUCAGAGAGAAGCAGCUUGACUUCAGAAGGAUGGCUUGACGGUGGGACUUUGGAGAAGAGCCUGGUCAGGGAUGGCCAGACUCCAGGGGAAGACCACCUGCCUGCUCCACCCCCUUUCCAGCUCCCCUUCCCACUGAAAGCCACUUUCAUCAGCAAUAAAAUCCUCUGUAUUCA